AGUGAACGCUGGCGGUAGGCCUAACACAUGCAAGUCGAACGGCAGCACAGUAAGAGCUUGCUCUUACGGGUGGCGAGUGGCGGACGGGUGAGGAAUACAUCGGAAUCUACUUUUUCGUGGGGGAUAACGUAGGGAAACUUACGCUAAUACCGCAUACGACCUACGGGUGAAAGCAGGGGAACUUCGGACCUUGCGCGAUUGAAUGAGCCGAUGUCGGAUUGGCUAGUUGGCGGGGUAAAGGCCCACCAAGGCGCCGAUCCGUAGCUGGUCUGAGAGAAUGAUCAGCCACACUGGAACUGAGACACGGUCCAGACUCCUACGGGAGGCACCAGUGGGGAAUAUUGGACAAUGGGCGCAAGCCUGAUCCAGCCAUACCGCGUGGGUGAAGAAGGCCUUCGGGUUGUAAAGCCCUUUUGUUGGGAAAGAAAAGCAGCAGGUUAAUACCCCGCUGUUCUGACGGUACCCAAAGAAUAAGCACCGGCUAACUUCGUG
rnacentral:rRNA from 1 species